UCCUUUUCUUCCCGGCCUCGACUCCCCCCUCUCUCUGGCGAGGACAACACUACAUGUCGCGGCCGCGGCUGUAGCCAUGCAGGACCACGUGUCGGCCUACAUGCACCGGAGCGGCGAGCAGCAAGCGGCGCCGUCGUCCUGCGACCUCGCCGCCGUCGACGACGUCCCGGCCAACGGCCACAAGCCCGGCAAGGCCGUCACCGCCUCCGUCUACCGCGCCAAGAUAGCCGGCCACUCGCGGGUCGUCACCGUGUCCUGGUCCCGGGACCUCCUCUCGCACGCCUUCGCCGUCGCCAUCUCGGGGGCCGACGGCGCCGCCGCGGAGUGCAGGAUCGAGCUCCGGCCGUGGCAGUUCUGGCGGCGCGCCGGGUCGCGCCGCGUCGAGCUCGGCGGCGGCGCGUCCACGGCCCCAGCCACGGUGCGCGUGCUCUGGGACCUCCGCCGCGCGCGGUUCGGGGCCGGGAUCCCGGAGCCCCGGGGCGGGUACUACGUCGCCCUGGAGGCCGCGGGCGAGGUGGUCCUGGUCCAGGGCGACAUGCGCCGGGACGCGCUCCGGCGCGCGGCGUGCGCGCCCGCGGAGGCCGAGGCCGUGCCCGUGGCGCGGCGGGAGCACGUGUUCGGCCGGCGGCGGUUCGCGGCCAAGGCGCGGUUCCACGACCAGGGCGACGUGCACGACAUCGCCAUCGAGUGCGGCGGCGGCGGCGAGGGCGGGGACGCCGACAUGGAGAUGACCAUCGCCAUCGACGGCGAGGAGGCGGUGCAGGUGAAGCACCUGCAGUGGAAGUUCCGGGGCAACCAGUCCGUCACCUUCAGCCGGGCCAAGGUGGAGGUCUACUGGGACGUGCACGACUGGCUCUUCAGCGCCGGCACGCGGCCGGCGCUCUUCAUCUUCCGCCCGAUCGUGCUGUCCAGCGCGUCGGCGCCGGCGGGGAUGGCGUCGGGGCUGCUCGACGCGACGGUGGCCACCACCGGCUUCUGCUUGUACCUCUACGCGUGGAAGCUCGACUGAGCCAGCUAACGACAUUGCAUUGCUAGCUGGGUCUCUGCUGCAAGCUACCAUGUUGUUGAUGAGACUGUCUCUGUCAGCGAAAAUGCCUGUGAACUAAAGUUGAUGAAGGAGGAUUGGAGGAAGAGAUCUUACUGCCAGCACUGCAUGAUUAGGGAGAUGAUAUGAGAGAGAGACAGGUGGUCUGCAAGACUGGAGUGCAAUGUGUUGGGUGGGAGGCACAUGGGAGGAUGAGACGACAGGGAGUGGGUUCCAGUGCUGUGGUGUGCUGCAGCAGGCAGCAGCACUUGUGGUGGACGACUGACCUGACUCAGCCUCGCUCGCUGAUCCAAGAAAAUAAAAGAAGUUAUAUAUAUACAUGUUGCCACCGCAAAAGGUGACAG